GACGAACGCUGGCGGCGUGCCUAAUACAUGCAAGUUGAGCGCUGAAGGUUGGUACUUGUACCAACUGGAUGAGCAGCGAACGGGUGAGUAACGCGUGGGGAAUCUGCCUUUGAGCGGGGGACAACAUUUGGAAACGAAUGCUAAUACCGCAUAAAAACUUUAAACACAAGUUUUAAGUUUGAAAGAUGCAAUUGCAUCACUCAAAGAUGAUCCCGCGUUGUAUUAGCUAGUUGGUGAGGUAAAGGCUCACCAAGGCGAUGAUACAUAGCCGACCUGAGAGGGUGAUCGGCCACAUUGGGACUGAGACACGGCCCAAACUCCUACGGGAGGCAGCAGUAGGGAAUCUUCGGCAAUGGACGAAAGUCUGACCGAGCAACGCCGGGUGAGUGAAGAAGGUUUUCGGAUCGUAAAACUCUGUUGGUAGAGAAGAACGUUGGUGGGAGUGGAAAGCUCAUCAAGUGACGGUAACUACCCAGAAAGGGACGGCUAACUACGUG
rnacentral:rRNA from 1 species